rnacentral:rRNA from 1 species
AUUGAACGCUGGCGGCAGGCUUAACACAUGCAAGUCGAGCGAGCGGCGGACGUGUGAGUAAUGUCUGGGAAACUGCCUGAUCGAGGGGGCUAACUACUGGAAACGGUAGCUAAUACCGCAUACCAUCAUAUGAGCCCAGAUGGGCUUAGCUCCAAGGUGGGGUAAUGGAUCACCUAGGCGACGAUCCCUAGCUGGUCUGAGAGGAUGACGAGCCAAACGGAAACUGAGACACGCUCCAGCCUCCGACGUGAGGCAGCGGAGGAGAAUAUGUCGCAAGGGGCGCGAGCCUGAUGCAGCCAUGCCGCGUGUGUGAGAAAGGCCUUCGGGUUGUAAAGCACUUUCAGCGAGGAGGCGUUACUCGCAGAAGAAGCACCGGCUAACUACGUGCCAGCAGCCGCGGUAAUUC